GACGAACGCUGGCGGCGUGCUUAACACAUGCAAGUCGAGCGGUAAGGCCCUUUCGGGGGUACACGAGCGACGAACGGGUGAGUAACACGUGGGUGACCUGCCCUCAGCUCUGGGAUAAGCCUGGGAAACCGGGUCUAAUACUGGAUAUGACUCCAUGACGCAUGUUGUGGGGUGGAAAGCCUUGUGCGGCUGAGGAUGGGCCCGCGGCCUAUCAGCUUGUUGGUGGGGUGANGGCCUACCAAGGCGACGACGGGUAGCCGGCCUGAGAGGGCGACCGGCCACACUGGGACUGAGACACGGCCCAGACUCCGUACGGGAGGCAGCAGGUGGGGAAUCUUGCGCAAGUGGGACGAAAGCCUGACGCAGCGACGCCGCGUGAGGGAUGA
rnacentral:rRNA from 1 species